rnacentral:rRNA from 1 species
GACGAACGCUGGCGGCGUGCUUAACACAUGCAAGUCGAACGAAGAGCGAUGGAAGCUUGCUUCUAUCAAUCUUAGUGGCGAACGGGUGAGUAACGCGUAAUCAACCUGCCCUUCAGAGGGGGACAACAGUUGGAAACGACUGCUAAUACCGCAUACGAUCUAAUCUCGGCAUCGAGGAUAGAGGAAAGGUGGCCUCUAUGUAUAAGCUAUCACUGAAGGAGGGGAUUGCGUCUGAUUAGCUAGUUGGAGGGGUAACGGCCCACCAAGGCGAUGAUCAGUAGCCGGUCUGAGAGGAUGAACGGCCACAUUGGGACUGAGACACGGCCCAGACUCAUACGGGAGGCAGCAGUGGGGAAUCUUGCGCAAUGGACGAAAGUCUGACGGAGCAACGCCGCGUGAGUGAUGACGGCCUUCGGGUUGUAAAGCUCUGUUAAUCGGGACGAAAGGCCUUCUUGCGAAUAGUGAGAAGGAUUGACGGUACCGGAAUAGAAAGCCACGGCUAACUACGUG